rnacentral:rRNA from 1 species
AUUGAACGCUGGCGGCAGGCCUAACACAUGCAAGUCGAGCGGAAACGAGUUAUCUGAACCUUCGGGGAACGAUAACGGCGUCGAGCGGCGGACGGGUGAGUAAUGCCUAGGAAAUUGCCCUGAUGUGGGGGAUAACCAUUGGAAACGAUGGCUAAUACCGCAUGAUGCCUACGGGCCAAAGAGGGGGACCUUCGGGCCUCUCGCGUCAGGAUAUGCCUAGGUGGGAUUAGCUAGUUGGUGAGGUAAGGGCUCACCAAGGCGACGAUCCCUAGCUGGUCUGAGAGGAUGAUCAGCCACACUGGAACUGAGACACGGUCCAGACUCCUACGGGAGGCAGCAGUGGGGAAUAUUGCACAAUGGGCGCAAGCCUGAUGCAGCCAUGCCGCGUGUAUGAAGAAGGCCUUCGGGUUGUAAAGUACUUUCAGUCGUGAGGAAGGUAGCGUAGUUAAUAGCUGCAUUAUUUGACGUUAGCGACAGAAGAAGCACCGGCUAACUCCGUGCCAGCAGCCGCGGUAAUACGGAGGGUGCGAGCGUUAAUCGGAAUUACUGGGCGUAAAGCGCAUGCAGGUGGUUUGUUAAGUCAGAUGUGAAAGCCCGGGGCUCAACCUCGGAAUAGCAUUUGAAACUGGCAGACUAGAGUACUGUAGAGGGGGGUAGAAUUUCAGGUGUACGGGUGAAAUGCGUAGAAAUCUGAAAGAAUACCGGGUGGCAAAGGCGGACCCCUGGACAGAUACUGACACUUAGAAUGCGAAUGCUUGGGGAUCAACCAGGAUUUAAAUUCCUGUGUUAUCCUAGGGGAAAUUCUCCACGGGAUCCACUCUUUCGAUACCGCCAACCCCAAGAAAGGAGCGAUAUCUAA